CUUAGCAGAUUAUAGCACUUAAGCCACUUAAAUAACUGGACAUCACAUCGGAGAUUUCCCAAAAAAGUGCAAGAAGAGUUUAAAAGAUGAAAAAAUAUUUUUUUCCAUGCUAUCUUGAACUAACUUAGAUGAUACAGUCUUUUUGGACAAUAGCAACCAUCUGGUAUAAUACAACAGUUUAAAAAUCUGAUGGCCCGAAUAAUCAACCAUUUCAGGAAAAUGUUUAUAGAAGAAUAUUUAUGAAGCUAGAUUGAUAAAAGACAAACAAUAACUGGUAAGAUGCUGGAUAUACAAAGACGAAUAAGACCCCGCACUCAAAGAGUUCCUAGCCUAAAAACAGCAGGUCCAAGAUGGAGCUGUGUGCACCGUGGCAAAACAAGACUAAUUGAGAGUUUCUGUGUGUCCAAUCAGCCAUGAUGCAUUAAGAUGACUAAACAUGAACAGCAGGAACCUGUAAGUUCAGGCUCUCACAAUCCAUCUCACCAGAGUAGACAAGUUACAGGAAAUCGAGUCUACUAAAACA
rnacentral:lncRNA from 1 species